rnacentral:rRNA from 1 species
GAUGAACGCUGGCGGCGUGCCUAAUACAUGCAAGUCGAGCGAACAGACGAGGAGCUUGCUCCUCUGACGUUAGCGGCGGACGGGUGAGUAACACGUGGAUAACCUACCUAUAAGACUGGGAUAACUUCGGGAAACCGGAGCUAAUACCGGAUAAUAUAUUGAACGGCAUGGUUCAAUAGUGAAAGACGGUUUUGCUGUCACUUAUAGAUGGAUCCGCGCCGCAUUAGCUAGUUGGUAAGGUAACGGCUUACCAAGGCAACGAUGCGUAGCCGACCUGAGAGGGUGAUCGGCCACACUGGAACUGAGACACGGUCCAGACUCCUACGGGAGGCAGCAGUAGGGAAUCUUCCGCAAUGGGCGAAAGCUUGACGGAGCAACGCCGCGUGAGUGAUGAAGGCCUUCGGAUCGUAAAGCUCUGUUAUUAGGGAAGAACAAAUGUGUAAGUAACUAUGCACGUCUUGACGGUACCUAAUCAGAAAGCCACGGCUAACUACGUG